GGAGCUGUGGCUUAGCGGUAGAGUGCUUGCCUAGCAUGCAUGAGGCACUGGGUUUGAUCCUCAGCACCA
rnacentral:tRNA from 1 species